rnacentral:rRNA from 1 species
GUACACGCUGUGACUAGCAUAUCAAUAAGCGGAGGAAAAGAAACUAACAAGGAUUCCCUUAGUAACGGCGAGUGAAGCGGGAAGAGCUCAAAUUUGAAAUCUUCAAGGUUUUACCCUGACGAAUUGUAGUUUAAAGAAGUGUUUUCUGCUGAAGUUUUGGUAAAAGUUCUUUGGAAUAGGACAUCAUAGAGGGUGAGAAUCCCGUAUUUGACCAUUAUUUUCAGCUUUGUGAUACACUUUCAAAGAGUCGGAUUGUUUGGGAAUGCAGGUCCAAAAUGGGUGGUAAAUUUCAUCUAAAGCUAAAUAUUGGCGAGAGACCGAUAGCGAACAAGUACCGUGAGGGAAAGAUGAAAAGAACUUUGAAAAGAGAGUUAAAUAGUACGUGAAAUUGUCAAAAGGGAAGCGUUUAACACCAGUGUUGUUUUCUGAAAAUCAACCUCUGUUAGCUUUAUGCAUGUUUGUUUAGACCUAAUCAGCUAUCUUGCAUGUUCUAUUGUUUGCAGUGGUGCACUUUUCAGUUUACAGGUCAACAUCAGUUUUUUUUACCGUAAAAAAGUUAAAGAAAGGUAGCUCAUGGCUCCGGUCGUGAGUGUUAUAGUCUUUUUCCUAUGCGGUAGGAGAGACUGAGGUCUGCAGUGUAGGCCUAUUUGGCUAGAUACUCAGGUGCUAUGUGAUACCAUUUCAUAAACAACUUGUUGAUUAUGUUUUGUCUAUUGCAUACUCGCUUGUACUAUCAUACCUACGCUUAGGAUGUUGAGUAGCGACAUACGCAC